rnacentral:rRNA from 1 species
UACGGGGGGGGCAAGCGUUGUUCGGAAUUACUGGGCGUAAAGGGCUUGUAGGUGGCCAACUAAGUCAGACGUGAAAUCCCUCGGCUUAACCGGGGAACUGCGUCUGAUACUGGAUGGCUUGAGUGUGGGAGAGGGUAGUGGAAUUCCCGGUGUAGUGGUGAAAUGCGUAGAUAUCGGGAGGAACACCAGUGGCGAAGGCGACUACCUGGCCCAUUCUUGACGCUGAGGCGCGAAAGCUAGGGGAGCGAACGGG